GUGGGGAGCAAACAGGAUUAGAUACCUGGUAGUCACGCUGUAAACGAUGUCGAUUUGGAGGUUGUUCCCUUGAGGAGUGGCUUCCGGAGCUAACGCGUUAAAUCGACCGCUGGGGAGUACGGCCGCAAGGUUAAAACUCAAAUGAAUUGACGGGGGCCCGCACAAGCGGUGGAGCAUGUGGUUUAAUUCGAUGCAACGCGAAGAACCUUACCUACUCUUGACAUCCAGAGAAUUUAGCAGAGAUGCUUUAGUGCCUUCGGGAACUCUGAGACAGGUGCUGCAUGGCUGUCGUCAGCUCGUGUUGUGAAAUGUUGGGUUAAGUCCCGCAACGAGCGCAACCCUUAUCCUUUGUUGCCAGCACAUUAUGGUGGGAACUCAAAGGAGACUGCCGGUGAUAAACCGGAGGAAGGUGGGGAUGACGUCAAGUCAUCAUGGCCCUUACGAGUAGGGCUACACACGUGCUACAAUGGCGUAUACAAAGAGAAGCGACCUCGCGAGAGCAAGCGGAACUCAUAAAGUACGUCGUAGUCCGGAUUGGAGUCUGCAACUCGACUCCAUGAAGUCGGAAUCGCUAGUAAUCGUAGAUCAGAAUGCUACGGUGAAUACGUUCCCGGGCCUUGUACACGCCGCCCGUCACACCAUGGGAGUGGGUUGCAAAAGAAGUAGGUAGCUUAACCUUCGGGAGGGCGCUUACCACUUUGUGAUUCAUGACUGGGGUGAAGUCGUAACAAGGUAACCA
rnacentral:rRNA from 1 species